rnacentral:rRNA from 1 species
UACAGAGGUCCCAAGCGUUGUUCGGAUUCACUGGGCGUAAAGGGUGCGUAGGUGGUUGGGAAAGUUUGAUGUGAAAGCUCGGAGCUUAACUCCGAAAUGGCAUUGAAUACUUCUUAACUUGAGGGUCGGAGGGGAGACUGGAAUUCUCGGUGUAGCAGUGAAAUGCGUAGAUAUCGAGAGGAACACCAGUGGCGAAGGCGAUCAUCUGGGGUUGUUCUGACACUGAGGAGCGAAAGCUAGGGGAGCAAACGGG